GACGAACGCUGGCGGCGUGCUUAACACAUGCAAGUCGAACGGUGAAGCUCCAGCUUGCUGGGGUGGACCAGUGGCGAACGGGUGAGUAACACGUGAGCAACCUGCCCCUGACUCUGGAAUAAGCGCUGGAAACGGCGUCUAAUACUGGAUACGAGAAGGGUCCGCAUGGGCACUUUCUGGAAAGUUCUUCGGUUGGGGAUGGGCUCGCGGCCUAUCAGCUUGUUGGUGAGGUAAUGGCUCACCAAGGCGACGACGGGUAGCCGGCCUGAGAGGGCGACCGGCCACACUGGGACUGAGAUACGGCCCAGACUCCUACGGGAGGCAGCAGUGGGGAAUAUUGCACAAUGGGCGAAAGCCUGAUGCAGCGACGCCGCGUGAGGGAUGACGGCCUUCGGGUUGUAAACCGCUUUCAGCAGGGAAGAAGCGAAAGUGACGGUACCUGCAGAAGAAGCACCGGCUAACUACGUG
rnacentral:rRNA from 1 species